AUUGAACGCUGGCGGCAGGCCUAACACAUGCAAGUCGAACGAGUGGCGGACGGGUGAGUAAUGUCUGGGAAACUGCCUGAUGGAGGGGGAUAACUACUGGAAACGGUAGCUAAUACCGCAUACCAUCAGAUGUGCCCAGAUGGGCUUAGCUAGUUGGUGGGUUAACGGCUCACCAAGGCGACGCUCCCUAGCGGGUCUGAGAGGAUGUCCAGCACCACUGUAACUUAGACACGGUCCAGACUCCUACGGUAGACAUCAGUGGGGAAUAUUGCACAAUGGGCGCAAGCCGGAUGCAGCCAUUCCGCGUGUAUGAAGAAGGCCUUCGGUUUGUAAAGUACUUUCAGCGGGGAGGCGUUACCCGCAGAAGAAGCACCGGCUAACUCCGUGCCAGCAGCCGCGGUAAUAC
rnacentral:rRNA from 1 species